rnacentral:rRNA from 1 species
CGGUUCACUUUAACACUGAGGCGUGAUGACGAGGCACUACGGUGCUGAAGCAACAAAUGCCCUGCUUCCAGGAAAAGCCUCUAAGCAUCAGGUAACAUCAAAUCGUACCCCAAACCGACACAGGUGGUCAGGUAGAGAAUACCAAGGCGCUUGAGAGAACUCGGGUGAAGGAACUAGGCAAAAUGGUGCCGUAACUUCGGGAGAAGGCACGCUGACACGUAGGUGAAGUGAUUUACUCAUGGAGCUGAAGUCAGUCGAAGAUACCAGCUGGCUGCAACUGUUUAUUAAAAACACAGCACUGUGCAAACACGAAAGUGGACGUAUACGGUGUGACGCCUGCCCGGUGCCGGAAGGUUAAUUGAUGGGGUCAGCGCAAGCGAAGCUCCUGAUCGAAGCCCCGGUAAACGGCGGCCGUAACUAUAACGGUCCUAAGGUAGCGAAAUUCCUUGUCGGGUAAGUUCCGACCUGCACGAAUGGCGUAAUGAUGGCCAGGCUGUCUCCACCCGAGACUCAGUGAAAUUGAACUCGCUGUGAAGAUGCAGUGUACCCGCGGCAAGACGGAAAGACCCCGUGAACCUUUACUAUAGCUUGACACUGAACAUUGAGCCUUGAUGUGUAGGAUAGGUGGGAGGCUUUGAAGUGUGGACGCCAGUCUGCAUGGAGCCGGCCUUGAAAUACCACCCUUUAAUGUUUGAUGUUCUAACGUGGACCCGUGAUCCGGGUUGCGGACAGUGUCUGGUGGGUAGUUUGACUGGGGCGGUCUCCUCCUAAAGAGUAACGGAGGAGCACGAAGGUUGGCUAAUCCUGGUCGGACAUCAGGAGGUUAGUGCAAUGGCAUAAGCCAGCUUGACUGCGAGCGUGACGGCGCGAGCAGGUGCGAAAGCAGGUCAUAGUGAUCCGGUGGUUCUGAAUGGAAGGGCCAUCGCUCAACGGAUAAAAGGUACUCCGGGGAUAACAGGCUGAUACCGCCCAAGAGUUCAUAUCGACGGCGGUGUUUGGCACCUCGAUGUCGGCUCAUCACAUCCUGGGGCUGAAGUAGGUCCCAAGGGUAUGGCUGUUCGCCAUUUAAAGUGGUACGCGAGCUGGGUUUAGAACGUCGUGAGACAGUUCGGUCCCUAUCUGCCGUGGGCGCUGGAGAACUGAGGGGGGCUGCUCCUAGUACGAGAGGACCGGAGUGGACGCAUCACUGGUGUUCGGGUUGUCAUGCCAAUGGCACUGCCCGGUAGCUAAAUGCGGAAGAGAUAAGUGCUGAAAGCAUCUAAGCACGAAACUUGCCCCGAGAUGAGUUCUCCCUGAGACUUUAGGUCUCCUGAAGGAACGUUGAAGACGACGACGUUGAUAGGCCGGGUGUGUAAGCGCAGCGAUGCGUUGAGCUAACCGGUACUAAUGAACCGUGAGGCUUAACCUUACA